AUGUCGACGGGAGCGGGAGCGGAGCCGGAGACGGACGACGGCUACGAGGCCGUCUUCAACGUGGAGGUCUUCUCUGACAGGGAGCUGCGGGUAGAGGUCGUCGGCCGCGACGACGACGCGCCCGCGUCCGGCGCCAGCCGCAAGCGCCGCCGCGAGGAGGACAAAGGUGAUGAUGGAGAAGAUAUUGGCUCAUCUUGUACUGUGACGAGUACACCGGUUUUACGAGUUGAGACUAUUUAUGUCAGCUCGGCGAUUCUUGCUGCAAAAAGUAGUUUCUUUUACAAGUUUUUUUCAAAUGGCAUGAAAGAAUCUGGCCAGAGGCAGGCAACAGUCAGAAUUGCUGAUUCAGAGGAGAAAGCCUUCAUGGAGGUGUUACGCUUUAUGUAUAGUGGAAAGUUGACAGCAACAACUGAGCCCAUUCCUCUGGUUGAUAUACUGAUGGCUGCUGACAAAUUUGAGGCCGUUUCCUGCAUGAAGCGUUGCGUUCAGCUUCUCAUGGUCCUGCCUAUGACUCCAGAAUCUGCAGUGAUGUGCCUAGAUCUCCCAUGUUCCAUUUCAAUGGUAGCAGACCUGACAGAGGCAGCCAAGAAAUUCCUUGCCGAAAGGUACACGGAAUUCCUGUCAAAAGAGUUCCAAGAUGAACUUAUGAGGAUGCCUCCUGCUGGGAUUGAGGCCAUCUUAUCAAGGAAUGACUUCGGGGUUGCUUCUGAAGUAGCCGUCUAUGACUUCGUGCUCAGGUGGGCCUGUUCACCUUGCCCAAAUUCUGAAGAAAGAAGGAACAUCUCGAGUUCUCGGUUACUUCCACUAGUGCGUCUUGGUAUGACCAAUGCUGCCUUUUAUUCUUGCCGCACUCUUAACUGGGCUGUGAAGCGUGAGCAGUGCGCCGCUCUCUGCGUAAACUGA
rnacentral:rRNA from 1 species